AAAAACUAGUUAAAAUUCAAUAACACUAGAAUGUCAAUCUAAAAUUACUUUUAUGUGUUUUUC
rnacentral:tRNA from 1 species